rnacentral:rRNA from 1 species
AGUGAACGCUGGCGGUAGGCCUAAUACAUGCAAGUCGAGCGGCAGCACAGUAAGAUCUUGCUCCUACGGGUAGCGAGUGGCGGACGGGUAAGGCAUAGAUAGGAAUCCUCUUAUACUUGGGGGACAUCGUAGGGAAACUUCCACUACUACCGCAUACGUCCUACGGGUGGAAGCAGGAGUUCUUCGGACCUUUCGCGUUUGAAAUAGACGGUGUCGGAUUAGCUAGUUGGCGAGGUAAAGGCAUACCAAGGCGACGAUCCGUAGCUGAUCUGAGAGGAUGAUCGGCCACACUGGAACUGAGACACGGUCCAGACUCCUACGGGAGGCAGCAGUAGGGAAUCUUCCGCAAUGGGCGAAAGCCUGACGGAGCAAUGCCGCGUGAGUGAUGAAGGUCUUCGGAUCGUAAAGCUCUUUUAUUGGGGAAGAACAACUGUGUAAGUAACUAUGCACGUCUUGACGGUACCUAAACAGAAAGCAACGGCUAACUACGUG